rnacentral:tRNA from 1 species
GGCCUGUUAGCUCAGUCGGUAGAGCAAAUGACUGAAAAUCAUUGUGUCCUUGGUUCGAUUCCGAGACAGGCCA